GAGGGUAAGAGAGCUUCCUUCGGUCCACUCAUGGGUAGCUUUAGGGUUUAAUUGGCUGCCGACUCAUUCAUCCAAAUACUGAGUCAACCAAACGAAGACACUCUUUUGCUCAGUAAAUGAGUGAAUGAUGCGGGAGACGAUUUGAAUCUUAAGCUUCCAGCGCUUGGACUGAAGGGAGCUCCCUUCUUCUAUCUUUUGUUUUUAUUAUUCCUCUAAGUUUCUAACCCCCUCUCCUUUUUUUUUUUAUAUCUCUUUCAUAUAUAUGCAUCUUCACUUCCUCUGUUGUUUUUCUGUUUGCACUUUCCUGGUUAAGUGUGUGAAUAUAUGCAUUCCUGCAGCUAAACUUUCAUCUAUAUACACAUAUAGAAAAAGGCAUGACAUGCUCCACGAGUUAAUCAGUUUUCUUAUGUUCGGGUUUCGUCAAGUUUUGGGCCAGGAAAACCUUUUGUAAAUGUUCUUGUUUGCUGUCGAAACAUGAUUAGGUUAAGGUUUGCUGGUUGAAGCAUUGAUUUGUUCUGCGAAGCGCAUCGUUAUGAUGCCCUGUGGACGAGAGAUCUGGCAACGUCUUGCCCUUAGCCCUUAUGCAUGUGCCGUGGAGGAUGCAAUAAUAAUUAGCGACAUGUACAUCUCUCGCAACUCGCAUUUGGUUCCGCUAACUCAGCCAGAAAAGAAAGAUGACGACGAUCGGAUCAAUAUCUUCACCACCUCAACAAUUAUGAUGUGUGAUAAAAUAUAACCGACCAUGUAACUAAAGAAAACAAUAUAUGGCCAGUGGCCUUGUGCGACAGCGGCACUACUGCCCACCUGCUAUUUGCAAAACGUGGGUUCGAGCGAAAGGAGUAUGUGUUUCCUUCCAUGGGAAAGGAGUUGGCAAAACAAAAGAAAGAAAGAAAGAAAGAAAACAAUAUAUGAUGUUGUUUUCACUUUUUUGUUGAAAGAGGUUGUUUUCAGUUUUCACUUUAUUUUCUAGUAUUUUAAAAAAUGUAGCUGCCUUUUUUGGUUUGAAUUAUUUUUCCUAAAGAAUAAAUUAAAGAAAGAGAAGGCGACUGCUAAGAAAAAUGUUGGAUCAAAAUUCAAAAUCUAA